UACAGAGGUGGCAAGCGUUGUUCGGAAUUACUGGGCGUAAAGCGUGCGCAGGCGGUUGUGCAAGACAGAGGUGAAAUCCCCGGGCUUAACCUGGGAACUGCCUUUGUGACUGCACGGCUAGAGUGUGUCAGAGGGGGGUAGAAUUCCACGUGUAGCAGUGAAAUGCGUAGAGAUGUGGAGGAACACCGAUGGCGAAGGCAGCCCCCCUGGGCUAACACUGACGCUCAGGUGCGAAAGCUAGGGGAGCGAACGGG
rnacentral:rRNA from 1 species